UUAGAGUUUGAUCCUGGCUCAGAUUGAACGCUGGCGGAAUGCUUUACACAUGCAAGUCGAACGGGGUCAUGGGGCUUGCUCCAUGACCUAGUGGCGAACGGGUGAGUAAUACAUAGGUACGUGUCCCGUAGUGGGGGAUAACGCACCGAAAGGUGUGCUAAUACCGCAUAUGCUCUGAGGAGGAAAGCGGGGGACCGCAAGGCCUCGCGCUAUGGGAGCGGCCUAUGUCCGAUUAGCUAGUUGGUGAGGUAAAGGCUCACCAAGGCGACGAUCGGUAGCUGGUCUGAGAGGAUGAUCAGCCACACUGGAACUGAGACACGGUCCAGACUCCUACGGGAGGCAGCAGUGGGGAAUUUUGGACAAUGGGGGCAACCCUGAUCCAGCCAUUCCGCGUGAGUGAAGAAGGCCUUCGGGUUGUAAAGCUCUUUCGGCAGGGAAGAAACGGUUGCGGUGAAUAUCCGUGACUAAUGACGGUACCUGACUAAGAAGCACCGGCUAACUACGUGCCAGCAGCCGCGGUAAUACGUAGGGUGCGAGCGUUAAUCGGAAUUACUGGGCGUAAAGCGUGCGCAGGCGGUUUUGUAAGUCAGAUGUGAAAGCCCCGGGCUUAACCUGGGAACUGCGUUUGAAACUGCAAGGCUAGAGUUUGGCAGAGGGGGGUAGAAUUCCACGUGUAGCAGUGAAAUGCGUAGAUAUGUGGAGGAACACCGAUGGCGAAGGCAGCCCCCUGGGUCAAAACUGACGCUCAUGCACG
rnacentral:rRNA from 1 species